rnacentral:rRNA from 1 species
GACGAACGCUGGCGGCGUGCUUAACACAUGCAAGUCGAACGGAAAGGCCCUGCUUUUGUGGGGUGCUCGAUUGGCGAACGGGUGAGUAACACGUGAGUAACCUGCCCUUGACUUUGGGAUAACUUCAGGAAACUGGGGCUAAUACCGGAUAGGAUCUCCUGCUGCAUGGUGGGGGUUGGAAAGUUUCGGCGGUUGGGGAUGGACUCGCGGCUUAUCAGCUUGUUGGUGGGGUAGUGGCUUACCAAGGCUUUGACGGGUAGCCGGCCUGAGAGGGUGACCGGCCACAUUGGGACUGAGAUACGGACCAGAAUCCUACGGGAGGCAGCAGUGGGGAAUAUUGCACAAUGGGCGGAAGCCUGAUGCAGCAACGUCGCGUGCGGGAUGACGGCCUUCGGGUUGUAAACCGAUUUCGCCUGUGACGAAGAGUGAGUGACGGUAAUGGGUAAAGAAGCAACGGCUAACUACGUG